rnacentral:lncRNA from 1 species
UUAGUUUAUACUUUUAGCAAAAGAGGGCGUGCUUUGAUAAGUAUGGCUCUUUUCAGCUGUAUGCGAACCAUAAGAAGAAACUGUGGUUUUCAGAUUUUGCAAACUGAUAUUAAGACUUUAUCAGAUGAUUUUCAGUCGAAAAACAAAAGUUUUGAAGAAAAUAGAUCUUUUGAUGAAACUGUUCUUAAGCUACAUUUUAAAUUGAAGACCUUGUCCUCAAAACAAGUUCAGGCUAGAAUUACUCAAAAUGAGUUGUCUGCAAAUAUUGCAAGUUACUCUAUGAAAUGGAAGAAGUAUUUUCAAAAUGAAGUUCAUUGAGCUGAAAACAAAUCACUUUGUCUACAAUCUAUGUGAAUACGAGUUCAGCCCACAUACUGAUCUACCACGAAACAAGUCAGUCUUUUAUGCAUGUGUCUGCAUUGACUCGAUCAAUGUUUUUCAAAUUUUUUUUGAUUGUAACCCAACAGGAAUCAUAUUUUGUAUCGUGAUUCAGUAUAUGCUACAAUGUUCUGUUCUGAAUUCCGAAAAAUUCAAUAAACAAAAAGUUUCUCGAAAUGUUAUAAUGUAAGACUUCUUACUGUAGAUACUAAAAUAAAUGUGAAUAAUAAGCUAAUUUGGUAUAGGA